rnacentral:rRNA from 1 species
GAUGAUCGCUGGCGGCGUGUCUAAUACAUGCAAGUCGAGCGAAUGGAUUAAGAGCUUGCUCUUAUGAAGUUAGCGGCGGACGGGUGAGUAACACGUGGGUAACCUGCCCAUAAGACUGGGAUAACUCCGGGAAACCGGGGCUAAUACCGGAUAACAUUUUGAACCGCAUGGUUCGAAAUUGAAAGGCGGCUUCGGCUGUCACUUAUGGAUGGACCCGCGUCGCAUUAGCUAGUUGGUGAGGUGACGGCUCACCAAGGCAACGAUGCGUAGCCGACCUGAGAGGGUGAGCGGCCACACUGGGACUGAGACACGGCCCAGACUCCUACGGGAGGCAGCAGUAGGGAAUCUUCCGCAAUGGACGAAAGUCUGACGGAGCAACGCCGCGUGAGUGAUGAAGGCUUUCGGGUCGUAAAACUCUGUUGUUAGGGAAGAACAAGUGCUAGUUGAAUAAGCUGGCACCUUGACGGUACCUAACCAGAAAGCCACGGCUAACUACGUGCCAGCCGCCGCGGUAA